GAUGAAGAACGUAGCGAAAUGCGAUAAGUAAUGUGAAUUGCAGAAUUCAGUGAAUCAUCGAAUCUUUGAACGCACAUUGCGCCCGCCAGUAUUCUGGCGGGCAUGCCUGUUCGAGCGUCAUUUCAACCAUCAAGCCCCCGGCUUGUGUUGGGGACCUGCGGCUGCCGCAGGCCCUGAAAACCAGUGGCGGGCUCGCUAGUCACUCCGAGCGUAGUAAUACAUCUCGCUCAGGGCGUGCUGCGGGUUCCGGCCGUUAAAAAGCCUUAUUUACCCAAGGUUGACCUCGGAUCAGGUAGGAAGACCCGCUGAACUUAAGCAUAUCAAUAAGCGGAA
rnacentral:misc_RNA from 1 species